UACCCUCUAUAAAUUUCAUUUCAGUAUAUAUAUUGUAAUCCUAAAUCUCAACAGGAAAAACAGAAAAAGGUGAAUUUUUUUCAAUGGCCUUCACGUUAAUCAAUCGAUCGUAUUUUUGCUUGAUUUUGUUCAUUUCUAUGAUCCUGCUUUCAGGUUUAUCAAGUGGUGAGUAUGGCGUCAUGGAUAUAAAAUGUCAGGAUGGUAAUUGUGCGUCUGAUGGACAAUGCAAUUCAGACUGUCUUAAAAAGGGAUUUAAGAAAGGUGGUGUUUGUAGAAUAAUUUUUCCUAGUUCUAAUAAAUGUUGUUGUACUAUAGGAUGAUUUAUUUUGUCCUUUAAGAAAACUAAAUGAAUAAAAGGAAUACCUAAUGUAUGUUUCGAUUGAAGAUUUUGUAAGAAUAUAUAUUGGGUAAAAUAAAGUAAUCAUUCAAAUUGAUUAAUAUAAUCAAGUUGUAAUAUUCUAGUCAUUUUUAUUUUGUUGUAAACUAUAUCCAUGAAUACUGAAAAUUUGAAUUUGCAUCAAAUACAAA